ensembl:snoRNA
GUUGAGGCAAAGUCUGAUGGGGCUUCUUCAGUAGUGGCACAUCAUUGGAAAUACCUCAGAGGACAACUCAGUGGCUUUGCUUCACUCACAGGACCAUUUGUUAAGUUUGUGGGAAGGAACUACUAGACAGCU